AUUGAACGCUGGCGGCAGGCUUAACACAUGCAAGUCGAGCGGGGUGAUGGUGCUUGCACUAUCACUUAGCGGCGGACGGGUGAGUAAUGCUUAGGAAUCUGCCUAUUAGUGGGGGACAACAUCUCGAAAGGGAUGCUAAUACCGCAUACGUCCUACGGGAGAAAGCAGGGGAUCACUUGUGACCUUGCGCUAAUAGAUGAGCCUAAGUCGGAUUAGCUAGUUGGUGGGGUAAAGGCCUACCAAGGCGACGAUCUGUAGCGGGUCUGAGAGGAUGAUCCGCCACACUGGGACCGAGACACGGCCCAGACUCCUACGGGAGGCAGCAGUGGGGAAUAUUGGACAAUGGGGGAAACCCUGAUCCAGCCAUGCCGCGUGUGUGAAGAAGGCCUUAUGGUUGUAAAGCACUUUAAGCGAGGAGGAGGCUCUUUUGGUUAAUACCCAAGAUGAGUGGACGUUACUCGCAGAAUAAGCACCGGCUAACUCUGUGCCAGCCGCCGCUGUAA
rnacentral:rRNA from 1 species